UCCUACGGGGGGCUGCAGUGGGGAAUAUUGGACAAUGGGGGAAACCCUGAUCCAGCGACGCCGCGUGGGUGAAGAAGGCCUGCGGGUUGUAAAGCCCUUUCGGUAGGGACGAAAGCUCUCGACCUAACACGUCGGGAGGUUGACUUAACCUACAAAAGAAGCACCGGCUAACUCUGUGCCAGCAGCCGCGGUAAUACAGAGGGUGCGAGCGUUAAUCGGAAUUACUGGGCGUAAAGCGCACGUAGGCGGCUUGGGACGUCGGUGGUGAAAUCCCCGGGCUCAACCUGGGAACUGCAUCCGAAACUGCCUUGCUCGAGUAUGGGAGAGGGAAGCGGAAUUUCCGGUGUAGCGGUGAAAUGCGUAGAUAUCGGAAGGAACAUCAGUGGCGAAGGCGGCUUCCUGGACCAAUACUGACGCUCAGGUGCGAAAGCGUGGGGAGCAAACAGGAUUAGAUACCCGUGUAGUCCUA
rnacentral:rRNA from 1 species